AGUGAACGCUGGCGGUAGGCCUAACACAUGCAAGUCGAACGGCAGCACAGGAGAGCUUGCUCUCUGGGUGGCGAGUGGCGGACGGGUGAGGAAUACAUCGGAAUCUACUCUGUCGUGGGGGAUAACGUAGGGAAACUUACGCUAAUACCGCAUACGACCUACGGGUGAAAGCAGGGGACCUUCGGGCCUUGCGCGAUGGAAUGAGCCGAUGUCGGAUUAGCUAGUUGGCGGGGUAAAGGCCCACCAAGGCGACGAUCCGUAGCUGGUCUGAGAGGAUGAUCAGCCACACUGGAACUGAGACACGGUCCAGACUCCUACGGGAGGCAGCAGUGGGGAAUAUUGGACAAUGGGCGCGAGCCUGAUCCAGCCAUACCGCGUGGGUGAAGAAGGCCUUCGGGUUGUAAAGCCCUUUUGUUGGGAAAGAAGUCCAGCUGGCUAAUACCCGGUUGGGAUGACGGUACCCAAAGAAUAAGCACCGGCUAACUUCGUGCCAGCCGCCGCGGUAA
rnacentral:rRNA from 1 species